ACCACCGAGCCCUUUGCUACUUGCUCAAGGGACGGUCGGUACCUCUACAUACAAACUUAGAUCUCAUUUAGGCUGGCAUAUAUGUAGUAUCAAUGUUUUCUUCCUGCCGUAGUCUAAUGUCGUGCUCCUCCUCAUCCUCCAGCAGAGCCGGCUGGCCUUCAGCAUGAUAUGCUGUUUUGCAUCGCCAGCAAGCUGACAACCAUCGACUUCUUGAACUUUCAGAGAGUCAGCCACUCCCAGUUCUCCGCCGUUCCGGAGAUCCCGCUUCGGCGGGCCCUCCACACACCCUACCUCCUCGUCGGUCCUGACUGCAACUCCUCAUCGGGAUUGAUCUCGGUACAGGGGAGAGCAAAAGUUUGGACAUGGAUGCUCUCUCACCUAGUAUCAGCGACGAGCUGGUUGCCCACAAUGACAGGAGCAGACGACAUGCACAAUAUUCCUCUCACCAAGCAUAUUGAGAUCUUUAAAGUAGAAUCGGUUCCGACAUAACCACACUGAAAGAUUAUCUAGCUGACGAGCCCGGAUGGCUGUGUUCUGUCCACGGGCAUUGGCUCGCCUGUCCUAUAUAUAGAGUCCGGCUGGGAUACUAUUGAUAACACCAAAGUUUAGUACUAUCGAGUUUUUCACUAUUAGAUUUAACCCGUUGAUUAUUUUUACCCGUUAGAUUAUACUAUGUUGGAUUUUAUUCAAUAAUAAAUUUUGAUGAUAACAAACAAAUUUUGGAUUUAAUUUGUUAUUUAGCAAUUUCAUGUUGUAAUUGAAUAUAAAGUGGCUCAAGGGGAAUUGAUCAAAGGUAACCAUUCAAUCAAAUUAUUCAAAUUGGUCCAGACAAUAUCAAAUUGUACCAAAUUGGAUGCAAGUGCCACAACAAAAAUUUGGAGGACUUCUUUACAAUUUAUCGGAUUUGAGCCGGUCAACCUAAUCAAGUUGACCAAUUCACCUUUUGGGUUUGAUUUGAGCAUAAUGUCAAAUUAGCCAUUAUUUUUAAUAUGGUAUGAAAGAGAUUUGAUAUAUGGUAUAAAUUCAAAAAUAAUAUUAUUAUGGCAUGAAUUUAAAAAUAUAAAAUAUGAUAUAAAUGAGUUUUAUAAGUAUGGUAUUAUUUUAAAAGUGUUUACACAUGUGGAAUGAAUUCAAAAAGUUUUACAUUUGUAGUAUUAAUUUAAAAGGAUUUUACAAUUUUGGUAUAAUUUCAAAUGAGUGUUUCAAUAUAGUAAUAUUUCAAAUGUAUUUGCAAAUGUGGUAUGAAUUUGAAUUUAUUUUGGAAUUAAUUCAAAUGCAUUUGCAAAUAUGGUUAAAAUUCAAAUUAAAAUCAAUUAUGAUUUAAUCAUGCUUUUGUUCUGUUUUUGAAAUGAUGGCUAGUGUAUUUAAAGGGGGGCUUGGAUGGUGUUUUUGAUAUAACUUCAGAAAAAUUUUCUAAAUUCUAAUUGUUCAUUAAUUUGUAAUUGUGAGUUUUUUGAGAGAUUGUAAAAGAAGUCUUGUGUGAUUGUAAGCGGCUUUGGUCUGGCCCUGUUCAAAAGGCCAAGUGAUAGUGAAAUCGGUAUCUUGAGGAGAAGAAGAACCAGACUGAAGUAGGCAGAAAGGCCGAACCAGGGUAAAUCAUCUGUAUUAUUUGAGUUUGAUUUUCUUCUUUUAUGUGGUUGUGCAAUUUUUAUCUUGCUUUAAUUUUACUUGAGUUUUUAGUUGUCAACUAAUUCACCCCCUGUAGGCCCCCCACGCCCCCUACCUCCUCCUCGCCCCUGCCUGCGACUGCGACCGCGACCGUAAGGAAGAAACCGGCCUCUUCACCUUCCUCAACCUCCCCGACAACACGCUACACCGAUUCCGCAUCCCUAAACUCCGCGGCAAGUACUGCGUGGGGUCCCAGUACGGCUGGCUCGCCACCGUCGACCGCCGGCAGGGCAAGCUCGCCCUCCUCAACCCCUUCACCGGGCAGGACAUCCCCCUGCCCUCUCUCACCACCCUCUCCGACCACCUCCCCGGUCGCCCCGUCUGCCCCUACCACAGCAUCCUCUAUGUCUCCUUCCUCAUCGCCCAACAAUGCUGGGUCGUCACCGUCACCACGGUUGCUCUCUCCUCCGACCCCGCCGACGGCACCGCCUUCACCGUCGCCGCCCUCCUCGGCUUCAGCAUGCCACGAAAGCUGAUAUUCACCACUACGCCGGCGGAGGAGGCGGCGGCGGCGGAGAAGAGGUGGAGCUUCUACCUGGGGCCCCAGGAGAACCUGGAUUUCCACGACGUCGCGUUCGAUCUGCGCGGCAGGCUCCUGGGCAUCGCGAAGGGCGUCACCGACUUCCUGCUGAUCGAGAUCGACGUCGUUGGCUCCCGGGGGAGCAGAACUUUCCACUUUGACAAUUUCUACUUUGAUAAUCUUCACGACGACCACGGCGACCUCCCACUGUGCGUGGUAUAGAUCAUGUUCAACUUUGAUAAUCUUCACGACGAGCACCUAUUGAUUUCUAAAUACUUCAAAUGGUAUAGAUCAUAUUCAAUGGUGCCGAUCAUCAAUUUGGAGGCUCCAUCAUCGAAAACAAAUGGGUGGCAAAAGCGCCGAUUUGCUAUCGAUAGUAUUCUAGCUCAACUCUAUAUAUAUAUAUAGAACUAGGUUGGAAUACUAUCAAUAGGUGCUAUUAGUUUUUUAGCCCUUGGAUUGAGAAAUAUGCGGUUAGGAUGAUGUGGACCCUUUGGGGUUGAGUGGGUGAUUAAUUGAAUAGUAUAAUCUAACGGAUAAAAAUAAUCAAAGGGAUUAAUCUAACGGCAGAAAACUUGAUAGCACUAAGUGCUUGGUGCUAUCGAUAGCAUAGCAGUCGGACUCUCUCUCUCUCUAUAUAUAUAUAUUACAAAGCUAGCGAAUAUGCACUAAUAUGUAAUAGGUUUCCUAAAACGAAAUCUAAUAAGGGUUAUCUCUAUGCAAUUUUUAAACUUGAUUGUCGUUUUGUUUUUUUUUUUUUAUAAGUCUUUAAUAUUUACCAGUGAAGAGUCCAUGCAUCACAUGACAAAAAUAAACUAAACUAAAUAAAAAGAAAAAAAUAAUUCUAUAGUGAAUUUUGAUGAAGUUUGAUCCUACUUAUUAAUUUUAAUAAUCCAAUUUGGCAAGGAAAAAAAAUAGAAUAAACUUCAAAUACCGCCCAUGUGAUUUUGCACCUUCUCACUUUAGUAUCCUGUAAUUUAAAGUGUAUCAAUUUAGUACCUUGUAGUUUUUUUUUUUUCUUUUUAUCAGACUCUGCUAACAUUUCGUUAAAUUAUAUACAACAAACUUCAGAUAUCUCACCUAGAUUUAUCGAGUAGUCAUUUUAGUACAUUUUAGUUUUAAUUUUGUCACUGAUUUAACAAAAAAAUUAGUAAAGGGGAUAAUAAAAAGAGAAAAAUGAAACCACGACGAAAUUGAUAUACUUUAAACCAUAGGGUACUAAAAUAAAAAAGUGUGAAACUACAGCAAUAACGUUUGAAGCUUUUCUAAAAAAAGAAAGAAGAAUUAUUGUAUUUAGGACUGGAAUUGAGGGCGGUUUAGAUUGGGUCAUAUUAUGCCCAAGUCUGGCCCCAAAAAUUUAUAGAGCUUCGGUACUAACCAUCAUCAAUAUUCAACUCAAUCUCGAAAUAUCGAAGUUGUAAUUAUUAUUCAUAAAAAAUAAUUUUAUUUAUUAGCCAAAAGACAUUUAGGGUGUGUUUGGUUCGCAUUAUGAAAGAUUACUAGGAAUAAAAGAUAUUCGAGAAUCUUAUUCCUAUUCAUUCUAUUACUAAGAAUAUGGAAUUUUUGUGUUUAGUUCGCACGGUAAUAUUAAUUAGCCAUGUUAUUUAAUAUUGUAAAAAAUAUACAAUUAAUUAAUUAAUUUAUUUAUUUAAUUUUAGAUAAUGUUACCAAAAGUUUCAACAUCUUUUUAGAAAAAAGGGAGAGAGAGUAUAAGUUAGAGAGAGAGCAUAAUAAAAAAAAUAGAAAGAAAAAUAUAGUCGAAAUUAGAGGGAGUGAGAGAGUUGAAAUUUUAGAAAGAGAGAGAGAGCUUAGUUUAGAGAAAGAAAAAAAAAGUUGAAUUUUAGAGAGAAAAAUAAGUUUAGAGAGAGAUAUAAGGUUAGAAUGUAAAGAAAAAUAAUAUCAAUUAGCCGGCGAGUAGGAAGAAAGAAAGAGAUUAGACAUAUUAUGAUUACCCUAAUCCAUUAAUAUGAGGAUACCCACCCUCCCUCAAGGGAAUGAGAUUAGUACUUUGGGGUGAAUCAUAUUCCCAAGUGAAUCCAAUAUUACCAACUAGAUUACUUAGUGCGUUUAGCCAAAUACCGUCAUAUUUUUUUAUUCCCAUUGGAUUACUAGGAAUCUUUAAAAGAUAGCGCGAACCAAACGCACCCUUAGAUUAUCAAUAAAAUCAACAAAAACAAACAAACAACUAAAUAGUUAAUUAAAAUCAAGUGUGGAAACCAACAGAAAAUGAACUUAAAAUUUUGGUACUAACCAUCAAGCCUUUAGUCAGCUGUACUAGAUACAGUAGGUCAUUUAAAUCACAAUAUGAAUACAAAAUUUGAUAAAUAGUCUUGAGUUCGAAUCCAAAUUUUGAAUUCAAACUCAAAAUCAAAUCUCUAAGUUUUAAAUCAAAACAAAUGUUUUAUUUCAGAUUGGAAUUUAACUUCAAAAUCAUAAUUUGAUUCUUGGGAUUCAAUUAAUUGCCAAUUCCGAUUUCAACUUAAAUCUGAAUUGGACUUCCGAGCUUAAUUUGACUUCCAGUCGAUUCAAAUAUGAAUUGAGAUUUUAGUUGAUAUUGUCGAUUCAAACUCUAGUCCGUAAUCAAAUUUCAACUAGCAUUGUGAAUUCGAAGUUGGGAUCAUUUUUAUACCAAGGUUUUAAUUUCUGUAUUUUAAAUAAAUGCGAACCAAAAAAACUUGAAAGUCCGAAUUCUAUUUAACAUUUUAAAAUGGUCUGAUACUUUUUUUUUUUUUUUUUUGAGAGAGAUAGGUAGCACGCUACCCGCUUCGUUUAUUUCAUUUAGAAAUAAACUAGCUAGAAAUAUGAAUCAACUAUGAUUCGAACUAUCGAGCCCUUUGCCACUUGCUCUAGGGAUGGUCUUAAUUUGAGAAUUUGCACUCUAUUAGAAUUAUGAAAUGGUCCAAUUUUAGAUAGGGAUAAUUGCUUAUAUAUUCCUGAAGAAUUUUUGACUUUUUUAUUUACCCUUCUUAGCUCUUAGAAAGGUUAUAUUAAAAAUGUCUUUUUAACAUUCCAAACUUUCAAAUAUACUCUUAUAGUGAACAACCAUUAGCUCUGUAAAAUUAUUUUUUUGUCCUUUCAAGUAUAUUCUUUUAUAGUCGUCAACUUUUCUUAUUUACUCUUAAAGUAAGGGCAAAAAAAAGUAUUUUGACUGACUUCUUUCCUCUCAAUAUACCUUUUUACCGUAAGCAAAUUUUCUUAUUUAUACUUAAGUUAGGAGCAAAAGAGAUAUUUUGAUUUUUUUUUUUUAACUCUAAUAGAAUUUUAACCCGGAUUUAACCCACGAUGACUUAAUGGGUACCAACAAUUUGGAUAUUUUUGAAGUACGGAGAAAUAUAAAAAGAGUAUAUUUGAAAAAAUAAAUAAAUAAAUAAAUAAGAUAUUUCAGAAAUUGAGGGGUAUACAGCCAAUUAUCCUUUUUAGAUAAUAUCAGGAUUGCACCGGACAUUAAAUUAUCUUCGUUAAUCCUCUCUAAACCUUAUCUUACUAUGAUUCGAUCCACUCACGCACAAUCUAAGUUUAAAGGCGUUGCAAACCAAAUACAUACAAACUUUUUUUUUCUUUUUUUGAGAGAGAGGUAGCACGCUAUCUGCUUCGUUUAUUUCAUUUAGAAAUAAAUUUAGUUGUAAAUGUGAAUCAACAAGGAUUCGAACUUGGGAUCUCAGAUACCAACCACCAAGCCCUUUGCCACUUGCUCUAGGGACGGUCGGUACCUAUACAUACAAACUUAGAUCUCUUUUAGGCUGGCAAAUAUGUAGUAUCAAUGUUUUCUUCCUGCCGUAGUCUAAUGUCGUGCUCCUCCACAUCCUCCAGCAGAGCCGGCUGGCCUUCAGCAUGAUAUGCUGUUUUGCAUCGCCAGCAAGCUGACAGCCAUCGACUUCUUGAACUUGCGGAGAGUCUGCCACUCCCAGUUCUCCUCCGUUCCGGAGAUCCCGCUUCGGCAGGCCCUCCACGUACCCUACCUCCUCGUCGGUCCUGACUGCAACGCCUCAUCGAGAUCGAUCUCGAUACAGGGGAGAGCAAAAGUUUGGACAUGGAUGCUCUCUCACCUAGUAUCAGCGACGAGCUGGUUGCCCACAAUGACGGGAGCAGACCACAUGCACAAUAUUCCUCUCACCAAGCAUAUUGAGAUCGUUAAAGUAGAAUCGGUUCCGACGUAACCACGCUGUAAGAUUAUCUAGCUGACGAGCCCGGAUGCCUUUGUUCUGUUCAUGGGCAUUGGCUCGCCUGUCCUAUAUAUAGAGUCUGGGUGGGAUACUAUUGAUAAAACCAAAGUUUAGUACUAUCGAGUUUUUCACUAUUAGAUUUAACCCGUUGAUUAUUUUUAUCUGUUAGAUUAUACUAUGUUGGAUUUUAUUCAAUAAUAAAUUUUGAUGAUCACAAACAAAUUUUGGAUUUAAUUUGUUAUUUAGCAAUUUCAGGUUGUAAUUGAAUAGAAAGUGGC
rnacentral:lncRNA from 1 species